UUUUAAAAUGAGAGUUUGAUCCUGGCUCAGGACGAACGCUGGCGGCGUGCCUAAUACAUGCAAGUCGAGCGAG
rnacentral:rRNA from 1 species